CUACGUGCCAGCAGCCGCGGUAAUACGGAAGGUUCGGGCGUUAUCCGGAUUUAUUGGGUUUAAAGGGAGCGUAGGCCGGAGAUUAAGUGUGUUGUGAAAUGUAGACGCUCAACGUCUGACUUGCAGCGCAUACUGGUUUCCUUGAGUACGCACAACGUUGGCGGAAUUCGUCGUGUAGCGGUGAAAUGCUUAGAUAUGACGAAGAACUCCGAUUGCGAAGGCAGCUGACGGGAGCGCAACUGACGCUGAAGCUCGAAGGUGCGGGUAUCGAACAGGAUUAGAUACCCUGGUAGUCCGCACAGUAAACGAUGGAUGCCCGCUGUUGGUACCUAGUAUCAGCGGCUAAGCGAAAGCAUUAAGCAUCCCACCUGGGGAGUACGCCGGCAACGGUGAAACUCAAAGGAAUUGACGGGGGCCCGCACAAGCGGUGGAGCAUGUGGUUUAAUUCGAAGCAACGCGAAGAACCUUACCAGGUCUUGACAUCCCUCUGACCGCUCUAGAGAUAGAGUUUUC
rnacentral:rRNA from 1 species